rnacentral:rRNA from 1 species
CCUACGGGUGGCAGCAGUGAGGAAUAUUGGUCAAUGGACGAGAGUCUGAACCAGCCAAGUAGCGUGAAGGAUGACUGCCCUAUGGGUUGUAAACUUCUUUUGUAUGGGAGUAAAAUGUUCCACGUGUGGGGUUUUGUAUGUACCAUAUGAAUAAGCAUCGGCUAACUCCGUGCCAGCAGCCGCGGUAAUACGGAGGAUCCGAGCGUUAUCCGGGUUUAUUGGGUUUAAAGGGAGCGUAGGUGGAUAGUUAAGUCAGUUGUGAAAGUUUGCGGCUCAACCGUAUAAGUGCAGUUGAAACUGGCAGUCUUGAGUGAAGGAGAGGUGGGCGGAAUGCGUGGUGGAGCGGUGAAAUGCUUAGAUAUCACGAAGAACUCCGAUUGCGAAGGCAGGUCACUGGAGUUCAACUGACGCUGAGGCACGAAAGUGUGGGUAUCGAACAGGAUUAGAUACCCUUGUAGUC